rnacentral:rRNA from 1 species
GCAUAUCAAUAAGCGGAGGAAAAGAAACCAACAGGGAUUGCCUCAGUAACGGCGAAGUGAAGCGGCAACAGCUCAAAUUUGAAAUCUGGYYCUUUUCAGGGUCCGAAGUUGUAAUUUGUAGAAGAUGCUUCGGGUUGUGGCUCCGGUCUAAGUUCCUUGGAACAGGACGUCAUAGAGGGUGAGAAUCCCGUCUGUGACCGGUCGCCUUCGCCCAUGUGAAGCUCUUUCGACGAGUCGAGUUGUUUGGGAAUGCAGCUCAAAAUGGGUGGUAAAUUUCAUCUAAAGCUAAAUAUUGGCCAGAGACCGAUAGCGCACAAGUAGAGUGAUCGAAAGAUGAAAAGCACUUUGGAAAGAGAGUUAAACAGUACGUGAAAUUGUUGAAAGGGAAGCGCUUGCAACCAGACUUGCGCGCGGUCGAUCAUCCGGUGUUCUCACCGGUGCACUCGGCCGCGCUCAGGCCAGCAUCGGUCUGGGUGGUUGGAUAAAGGCCUGGGGAAUGUGGCUCCUCUCGGGGAGUGUUAUAGCCCCAGGUGCAAUGCAGCCUACCUGGACCGAGGACCGCGCUUCGGCUAGGAUGCUGGCGUAAUGGUUGUAAGCGACCCGUCUUGAAACACGGACCAAGGAGUCUAACAUCUAUGCGAGUGUUUGGGUGUCAAACCCAUACGCGUAAUGAAAGUGAACGGAGGUGAGAACCCUUAAGGGUGCAUCAUCGACCGAUCCUGAUGUCUUCGGAUGGAUUUGAGUAAGAGCAUAGCUGUUGGGACCCGAAAGAUAGUGAACUAUGCCUGAAUAGGGUGAAGCCAGAGGAAACUCUGGUGGAGGCUCGCAGCGGUUCUGACGUGCAAAUCGAUCGUCAAAUUUGGGUAUAGGGGCGAAAGACUAAUCGAACUAUCUAGUAGCUGGUUCUGCG